GGACCAGAAAUCAAUAGAGCUGGUCGAUUCCCAAUCGCUCAAGAAUUUUAUCUGUUCUUCCGUUUUGGGGGAUACACGGAUCACCAUAUGACUUUGAAAGGACAAAAUUAAUAAAUUUUAUUGCUCUUAAUCCUAAAAUAGGGAGCAACGGUUACACAUGACACGACUCGCUGGACAGAUGAUGCUGUAAAAUGAAAUAAAAUACCCGGUGUAGUCGACUUUGACAGCUGUAGUACUGAGAGCCAGCAAAGCACAGAUACAGAAGACCGGUCCGUGAAUUCUCAUUUUGAAAAGUUUUACAAAAAAUGUUGCGAAUGAAUUCAAAAUGACAACGUACAAAACAAAACCAAUGAACGUAAUGCAAGGAUAAAUUGCCGAGUCAGUUUUAUAGUCUCACGAUCAAACUUGUUAUCAUAUUUAGAAAGCCUUUUUAAACAUUAACGUAUAUUCAUUUUUAUCAUGAUCCCAUAUUUAUCGACUAAAUCUACUAACACAACCAAAGUCUAAUAUUAACCUUCACAAACCUUUGUCAUUGGCCCAUUGCGUAAUCAAUGCGCUGCUAUACACUUUUGGUUCGUCAAUAUCGGUUAAUCAUAACCAACAUGUCCUACUUGUGUCGUUUGGUGUGAACUACUCGCGUCACAGAGAACAAAAUAAACGAAUCGAGUUAAUUCUAAUUCUAACGAUGGCACGAAAUUGCUUGGCAUCACAUUUUGCCCAACACGCAUUAAAACUGGGCCACAAAAGCCACAAAAACAUGUGCAUUUGUUGCAUUUUGCUGUCAACAUUGCAGAGCUGCCGCAUCAUCCCAAAUCCCCUUGUAGUAACAGUCAUUUUAGCAUUUUCACCCAAAACAAAUUUUUAAAAGCGAUUUUUUUAAUGAGCUUUAUUUAUACCGAUGUUUUCUUACUCUGUGUAAAACCCGCCCAAGAAAAAAUAAAGGCGUCAUAUUAAAAUGCGUUAA